AUGUAAUUAUAGGUGACAUGUACCUGUGUACUACUGGGUAACAAGCUCCAGGACAUAUGUACUCACCUCCAGAAGACCCUCACACCGAAAAAGAAGUUUGGUGAGCAGUACAACUCAGACUCAGUGUGUUGUGUCAGUCCAAUAACAAACAGAUGUGGAGUCUCGGGUCUCUACAUCCGCUUCAUGACCACCAACACAACUGCUGCGUAUGCUGUGAUCAGUGACAUAGUUCGCCCACUGUUACCUAUACUUGGAGCGGACCCCUUCCACAACAAAUAUUGACCUGCAGCUACCCCUGACUGUUUGCACAUAUCGACUGCCAUGUUUUACUCUUUACAAAUAAUUUGUAUGGACAAGAACCCAUUUCAUCAGGAUAAAGAAAUCAAAACACGUCCCUGUCCAUGGGGACUUUUAAGACUAGGAACAAGAACCUGCAGGAUAACAUCAGGACACACACCAAAUACUUGACCACGUCUUUUAUACCUGCUUUGAGUGAUUUAGUACAGCACCCUCAUGGUUCAUUGUACGGCCGACACCGAAACAGACCUACUUGUGAUUCAUAAGAUUUAUAUGCAAAUUACAUUUUACAUUAUUUUCUAAUAUAAGUUCUGUGAGAACUUUUGUCAGAAUUGAAAGCUAGGUUAGAUGUUGAAUCGAUCUAGCUUCCCUGUAUAUUUACAUCCCUACAAGUGAAGCUAAGAAUUCAUUUUGCAUUAGUCAAAAUAUCUUUAUGUGAAAUUGUGCCUGUUUUUGUGGUACAAUUUGUAUAUGACAAAUGUUAUAUUCUUCCUUAAAAUGUUUUCACAUUUCAUGUCAAAUUGUUAAAGACUUGAUUCAUUUAUGUAUAUCAAAUGAAAUGUUAUUAAAUGAUAUUAUA